AGUGAACGCUGGCGGUAGGCCUAACACAUGCAAGUCGAACGGCAGCACAGUAAGAGCUUGCUCUUACGGGUGGCGAGUGGCGGACGGGUGAGGAAUACAUCGGAAUCUAAUUUUUCGUGGGGGAUAACGUAGGGAAACUUACGCUAAUACCGCAUACGUCGUACGGGUGAAAGCAGGGGAUCUACGGACCUUGCGCGAUUGAAUGAGCCGGUGUCGGAUUAGCUAGUUGGCGGGGUAAAGGCCCACCAAGGCGACGAUCCGUAGCUGGUCUGAGAGGAUGAUCAGCCACACUGGAACUGAGACACGGUCCAGACUCCUACGGGAGGCAGCAGUGGGGAAUAUUGGACAAUGGGCGCUAGCCUGAUCCAGCCAUACCGCGUGGGUGAAGAAGGCCUUCGGGUUGUAAAGCCCUUUUGUUGGGAAAGAAAAGCAGCAUGUUAAUACCCCGCUGUUCUGACGGUACCCAAAGAAUAAGCACCGGCUAACUUCGUG
rnacentral:rRNA from 1 species